GACGAACGCUGGCGGCGUGCUUAACACAUGCAAGUCGAACGGAAAGGCCCUGCUUUUGUGGGGUGCUCGAGUGGCGAACGGGUGAGUAACACGUGGGUAACCUGCCCUUGACUUUGGGAUAACUUCAGGAAACUGGGGCUAAUACCGGAUAGGAGCUCCUGCUGCAUGGUGGGGGUUGGAAAGUUUCGGCGGUUGGGGAUGGACUCGCGGCUUAUCAGCUUGUUGGUGGGGUAGUGGCUUACCAAGGCUUUGACGGGUAGCCGGCCUGAGAGGGUGACCGGCCACAUUGGGACUGAGAUACGGACCAGAAUCCUACGGGAGGCAGCAGUGGGGAAUAUUGCACAAUGGGCGGAAGCCUGAUGCAGCAACGCCGCGUGCGGGAUGACGGCCUUCGGGUUGUAAACCGCUUUCGCCUGUGACGAAGCGUGAGUGACGGUAAUGGGUAAAGAAGCACCGGCUAACUACGUG
rnacentral:rRNA from 1 species